GUCAGGAUGGCCGAGUGGUCUAAGGCACCAGACUUAAGAGUUGGAGACGUGGGUUCGAAUCCCACUUCUGACA